GUUUCUCUCUUCGGGGACAUCGGAUAAAACUGGAACGAUACAGUGAAGAUUAGCAUGGCCUUUGCAAGGAUGACACACGCAAAUUGAAAAAUUAUCCAAAUUUUG
rnacentral:snRNA from 1 species